CUACGGGAGGCAGCAGUGGGGAAUCUUGCGCAAUGGGCGAAAGCCUGACGCAGCAACGCCGCGUGGGGGAUGACGGCCUUCGGGUUGUAAACCUCUUUCGACAGGGACGAAGCUUUCGGGUGACGGUACCUGUAGAAGAAGCACCGGUUAACUACGUGCCAGCAGCCGCGGUAAUACGUAGGGUGCGAGCGUUGUCCGGAUUUAUUGGGCGUAAAGAGCUCGUAGGCGGUUUGUCGCGUCGGCCGUGAAAACCUGCAGCUUAACUGUGGGCGUGCGGUCGAUACGGGCAGACUUGAGUUCGGCAGGGGAGACUGGAAUUCCUGGUGUAGCGGUGAAAUGCGCAGAUAUCAGGAGGAACACCGGUGGCGAAGGCGGGUCUCUGGGCCGAUACUGACGCUGAGGAGCGAAAGCAUGGGGAGCGAACAGGAUUAGAUACCCUGGUAGUCCAUGCCGUAAACGUUGGGCGCUAGGUGUGGGGAUGGGUUCCACCGUUUCCGUGCCGUAGCUAACGCAUUAAGCGCCCCGCCUGGGGAGUACGGCCGCAAGGCUAAAACUCAAAGGAAUUGACG
rnacentral:rRNA from 1 species